UUUUAUAUUACUACAAUCAAAGCUGGUUUGAACAGUUUCAGUGCAUUUUCACCUAUGUUAUGAAUACAGACCGCCUGUGUGUGUGUUUUGUUGUUGUUGUUUUGUUUGUAAUUGAUAUAGAUAUCUUUCUUUGAAGCUUGCUGAAGGAUUUAAAAACACGAAAGGGUUUUUAAGUGUGGAAGUUUUCCGACUGAGAGUGGUUAUCCACCAGGGAAAGAGACCAAGGCGGGAUGCUGGUCAGUAUGACGUUCGUGCAGAUUACGUUGUUCACUGGAAAAAUGUUACUGACAUUAAAACUAUAGGAGAAAAAUUGUUGGAUUCCUUUAGAAACUUCACUUCACAAAAUAGGACACAAAAGAAUCUGAAAAUUGGCAAUGUCGAUAUUAACCUUUUGUCAGCUGAAAACCACAUAAACAACGCGACGACUGAGGGUGGAUUAUGUUUAGUUCCUGGCAAAACAGACUGUGCCCCAAACAGUACUCACUGUAUUGAUAAAGAGCAUGGCGAGUACGAGUGCCAGUGUAAAAAUGGAUAUUCACCAGCUUACUUAAAUAAG